rnacentral:rRNA from 1 species
AGUGAACGCUGGCGGUAGGCCUAACACAUGCAAGUAGAACGGCAGCACAGUAAGAGCUUGCUCUUACGGGUGGCGAGUGGCGGACGGGUGAGGAAUACAUCGGAAUCUACUUUUUCGUGGGGGAUAACGUAGGGAAACUUACGCUAAUACCGCAUACGACCUACGGGUGAAAGCAGGGGAUCUUCGGACCUUGCGCGAUUGAAUGAGCCGAUGUCGGAUUAGCUAGUUGGCGGGGUAAAGGCCCACCAAGGCGACGAUCCGUAGCUGGUCUGAGAGGAUGAUCAGCCACACUGGAACUGAGACACGGUCCAGACUCCGACGGGAGGCAGCAGUGGGGAAUAUUGGACAAUGGGCGCAAGCCUGAUCCAGCCAUACCGCGUGGGUGAAGAAGGCCUUCGGGUUGUAAAGCCCUUUUGUUGGGAAAGAAAUGCAGCAGGUUAAUACCCCGCUGUUCUGACGGUACCCAAAGAAUAAGCACCGGCUAACGUCG